UGUUUUCUGCUUCUCAGUGUAAGUGAAAUGCUUAAAGCUUUUUUUCCUUCCCUUAGUGCACU
rnacentral:tRNA from 1 species